rnacentral:tRNA from 1 species
GCUGGGCUGGCUCAGUCCGUAGAGCAUGUGACUGUUGAUCUCAGGGUCAUGGGUUCGAGCCCUACGUUGGGCA